rnacentral:miRNA from 1 species
CCCUGGUUGAGACUCGCGAACACCACCAUGGACAAUGACAAUUUGUAAACACGUUACAUGUACGCAUAAUAUGCGUACAUGUAACGUGUUUACAAAUUGUCAUUGUCCAUGGUGGUGUUCGCGAGUCUCAACCAGGGU